AGAGUUUGAUCCUGGCUCAGGAUGAACGCUAGCGGCAGGCUUAAUACAUGCAAGACGAACGGUAACUGGAGUAGCAAUACAACAGCUAGAGUGUCGUACGGGUGCGUAACACGUAUGCAACCUACCUUGUACAGGAGGAUAGCUCGGGGAAACUCGAAUUAACCCUCCAUAAUAUAAUUGGAUGGCAUCAUUUGGUUAUUAAAACUGAGGUGGUACAAGAUGGGCAUGCGAUUGAUUAGUUAGUUGGCGGGGUAAUGGCCCACCAAGACGAUGAUCAAUAGGGGACCUGAGAGGGUGAUCCCCCACACUGGCACUGAGAUACGGGCCAGACUCCUACGGGAGGCAGCAGUAGGGAAUAUUGGACAAUGGGUGAGAGCCUGAUCCAGCCAUGCCGCGUGCAGGAAGAAGGCGUUAUGCGUUGUAAACUGCUUUUGCCAGGGGAUAAAAAGACCGUGCGCGGUUAAUUGAAGGUACCUGGUGAAUAAGCCACGGCUAACUACGUGCCAGCAGCCGCGGUAAUACGUAGGUGGCAAGCGUUGUCCGGAUUUAUUGGGUUUAAAGGGUGCGUAGGUGGCCCUGUAAGUCAGUGGUGAAAUAUCUCAGCUUAACUGAGAGGGUGCCAUUGAUACUGCAGGGCUUGAGUACAGAUGAGGUAGGCGGAAUUGACGGUGUAGCGGUGAAAUGCAUAGAUAUCGUCAAGAACACCGAUAGCGAAGGCAGCUUACCAAGCUGUAACUGACACUGAGGCACGAAAGUGUGGGGAUCAAACAGGAUUAGAUACCCUGGUAGUCC
rnacentral:rRNA from 1 species